rfam:Lasallia pustulata genome assembly, contig: scaffold27345_size920
GGUUCCUUAGCUUAAUUGGUAAAGCGUAUUCUUGAUAAGAAUAUCUUCGAUGUUCGAGUCAUCGAGGAAUCA